GGCGAACCGUGCGAACGUUGUUCGGAAUCACUGGGCUUAAAGGGCGCGUAGGCGGGCCAGCAAGUCAGGGGUGAAAUCCCACGGCUCAACCGUGGAAGGGCCUUUGAUACUGCGGGCCUCGAGGGAGGUAGGGGCGUGCGGAACUUCCGGUGGAGCGGUGAAAUGCGUAGAUAUCGGAAGGAACAUCGGUGGCGAAAGCGGCGCGCUGGACCUCUUCUGACGCUGAGGCGCGAAAGCCAGGGGAGCAAACGGG
rnacentral:rRNA from 1 species